rnacentral:rRNA from 1 species
GUUUGUCAAGUUGUCAGUGCCCAAUCUCGUGUGAUCUCUGAAGCUAAGCAAGGCCAGGCCUGGUAUGCACUGGGAUGGGAGACUGCUGAAAACAACAGGCGCCACAGCCA